rnacentral:rRNA from 1 species
AUACAUAGGGGGCGAGCGUUAUCCGGAAUUAUUGGGCGUAAAGGGUACGUAGGCGGGCCUGCAAGUCUGAUUUGAAAGCACACGGCUUAACCGUGUGAGGUAAUUAGAAACUACGGGUCUAGAGAGUGGUAGAGGUAAAUGGAAUUCCAAGUGGAGCGGUGAAAUGCGUAGAGAUUUGGAGGAACACCAGUGGCGAAGGCGGUUUACUGGGCCACAUCUGACGCUGAUGUACGAAAGCGUGGGGAGCAAACAGGAUUAGAUACCCUGGUAGUCCACGCCGUAAACGAUGAGUGCUAAGUAUCGGUAGAAUCGGUGCUCAAGCUAACGCAGUAAGCACUCCGCCUGGGGAGUACGGUCGCAAGACUGAA